AUGUAAAAAAUGCCUAUGCUUUAGGACGCUGCAUAAGUUAGGGAAACCAGUUUUGCUACAGUAACUACAGUGACAGAAAUAUAUUAAUCAGAUGCUACUGAAGAUGCUUAUUUCAAUCCUAUCACAGGG